rnacentral:misc_RNA from 1 species
CUAACUAUAUAGGACUUCACAAGGUUGACUUUUGUGACACUCUCCUUCAAAUUAGAGUCUAAAUGUUAAUCAUGCCCAAUUUGUUAUAAAUGUAGUCAACACGAGUUCCAUUCGGAGCUUUUGUAAACAUAUCUCCUAACUACUCUCCAAUUUUGACAUGACCUAAUUAGAUGAUCUUCUAUUCAAUUUUUUCAUGAACAAAGUGUUACGUAUAGCAAAGCUAGAUAUGGGAAAGGAAAUAAUAGGAAUGGAGCUGUAG